rnacentral:misc_RNA from 1 species
CAAUAAUUUUUUUUAGAUGCCCAAAUAUUGAAAAAGUCUUCUGCAUCUUCAGUAUCGCUAUUCUCUGCUUGAUUUGAAUCCGUGUUAUUUGUAUUAAAAAUAUCAGGUUUGAUAUGUUUUGGUGGAGUCAUGUUAUUUUGUAAAGUAUGUGUUAGGUCAUAAGAAUAACUGAAGUAGAAAUUACUACUAAGAUCUAUGCUUUGAAACAUCUUCACAUAUCUUUGUUCAUCAGGGUGAAAAACACGAAUAGUAUCAUUUGGAAUAUAAAUCAUUGAAGUGUCUUCUAUUUUAUAUAUUGUAUGAUGCCCAAUUACAGCCACUCUACGUCGUUUAGUUACAAGAAUUAUAUAAGAUUGGUCCUUACCAAGAAGACCAAAAGCUGGUACUAGUCGAGGGAAAGUUUCUCUCUGCCACAUUGUUUUCCAGGUGAAUUUAGUUUGAGUUGGUUUGUGCAAUGGUUUCUGACAUUCUUGGUGUUCAGAUUCUUCUGAUACACCAUUGUCAGAUGUAGAUUCUUUGUGAAUGUUGCCUUUGUUAGCAAGCAAAUACAUAAUAUAUGGAAACUAAGUCUUAUAUAAUAUUUUAGCAAUAGUUUUACUCCAAUAUUACUAUGUAUAUUUAUGUUAUUUUGCGUCUAGUAUUAAAAUGCAAUUGAUGCAAAACAUGCAUGCCAAGAAUUAAAUCAUGCAAAAUUAUAAAGCUUAAGCUAUGUCUCUGACAUGUACGUUGCUCUUACAUAUUACAUACAAUGUAACUAUGUAUUAAUAAAAAACAAAGAAUUGAUAUAUAA